GAUUACCGAAGAAGCAACAUUGAUCUGUCACACUGAGAAAGGCUUCCAAAUGCAGCAUGAAAUCACAGUGAGCCCCAGAACACAGCAGCAUUAGGACCAAGGCUCUGUAUAUUACCGCCGCUCCGUUUCUGCAAGACGCGCCUCAAAUGUCAUCCUCAUCUGGAACUAUUUCGGUCCAAACUGAUAUGAUGCCUUCAUCCAAAACCUGAAAAAAUUGGCUCCUUUUAGAGAAUCUAUUAAUAUCUGUGUUCGUGGUGGCCAAGUGCUGAAAAAAAAAUGCUUUUGUAUAUUGUCCAAAUUAGACUUGAGUGUUGGUCUU